UUGAGAGUUUGAUCCUGGCUCAGGAUGAACGUUGGCGGCGUGUUUAAGGCAUGCAAGUCGAGCGACGUGUUCUUUAGCACUUAGAAUCUUAAUGUCAUGCUGAAUUUAUUUCAGCAUCCCAGGGGAUCCCGAAACAAGUUCGGGAUGACAGUUAGGAAAUUGAGUGCUAAAGAAUUACGAGCGGCAAACGGGUGAGUAACACAUUGGUAACCUACCUCUAAGACAGGGAUAGCCCACCGAAAGGUGGAUUAAUACCUGAUGGUAAUGCGGGGACAUAAGUCAUUCGCAUUUAAAGAUUUAUCGCUUAGAGAGGGGCCUAUGUCCUAUCAGCUAGUUGGCAGUGUAAUAGACUACCAAGGCUAUGACGGGUAGCAGGCGUGAGAGCGUGACCUGCCUCACUGGGACUGAGAUACUGCCCAGACUCCUACGGGAGGCUGCAGUCAAGAAUAUUCCUCAAUGGACGAAAGUCUGAAGGAGCGACGCCGCGUGCAGGAAGAAGCCCCUCGGGGUGUAAACUGCUUUUAUAGGGGACGAAUUUGUGACGGUACCCUAAGAAUAAGAGGUUGCUAACUCUGUGCCAGCAGCAGCGGUAAUACAGAGACCUCAAACGUUAUCCGGAUUCAUUGGGCGUAAAGCGUCCGCAGGUGGUUUAAAAAGUUGAUGGUUAAAUCUUGAGGCUUAACUUCGAGACUGCUGUCAAUACUGUUAAACUAGAGGUUGGUAGAGGCAAACGGAACUAUCGGUGUAGUCGUAAUAAGCGCUGAUAUCGAUAGGAACACCAAAGGCGAAGGCAGUUUGCUAGAACAAACCUGACACUCAUGGACCAAAGCGUGGGGAGCGAAUAGGAUUAGAUACCCUAGUAGUCCACGCCCUAAACGAUGUGUACUAGGUAUUGGGAGUAUCGACCCUCUCAGUGCCGUUUUAAAAAGCUAACGCGUUAAGUACACCGCCUGGGGAGUACGGCCGCAAGGUUAAAACUCAAAGGAAUAGACGGGGACCCGCACAAGCGGAGGAUCAUGCGGUUUAAUUCGAUGGUACGCGGCGAACCUUACCUGGGCUCAACUACUAACUGCAAGCCUCUGGAAACAGAGGAUUCCUUAGAGGGUGUUAGAUAGGUGCUGCAUGGUUGCCGUCAGCUCGUGCCGUGAGGUGUACAGUUAAGUCUGGUAACGAGCGCAACCCCUAUGCUGUGUUAAAUGCACACAGCAGACUGCCUGUUUAAACAGGAGGAAGGCGGGGAUGACGUCAAAUCAGCAUGGCUCUUACGU
rnacentral:rRNA from 1 species